GACAGCGUGGCAUUGUAGGGCUCCACCACCGUGUCUGACACUUUGGGCGAGGGCACCAUGCUGAAGGUGUUUAUGAUGCGAUCUGGGAACUCCUCACAGAUCUUACUGAUG
rnacentral:misc_RNA from 1 species